CUAGAUUAUAAAAUAUUGUAGUGUCUUGAAUUAUACUCGUAGUCAGCAUGAACAACGCAUUAGCAAUUGUCAUUAUGGCUCUGAUGUGUUUCCAAGCAGUAUGUGGCCACGUCACAUACAGUUAUUUAACAGCAGGCGGACAUCCCAGCCAUACUACUAAAGUGUUUCCUACUUUCUUCGAAGAGGCUACUGUCAAAAAGAAGUUUUCCAACCUGGAUGUGAUCUCUGGAACACUCGCCCAUGGUACCACAAUCGGUGUUAUAAGUAACGCAGCGCAUGGAAAAAAGAGUAAGCAGAAAUAAAUUGAUA